UCCCCGAUAGCUUAGUUGGUAGAGCAAAUGACUGUUAAUCAUUGGGUCGCAGGUUCGAGUCCUGCUCGGGGAG
rnacentral:tRNA from 1 species